rnacentral:rRNA from 1 species
UACGUAGGGUGCGAGCGUUGUCCGGAAUUAUUGGGCGUAAAGAGCGUGUAGGCGGCCUGAAAGGUCAGCUGUGAAAACUCGAGGCUCAACCUCGAGACGUCGGUUGAAACCAUCUGGCUAGAGUCCGGAAGAGGAGUGUGGAAUUCCCGGUGUAGCGGUGAAAUGCGCAGAUAUCGGGAAGAACACCCGUGGCGAAGGCGGCACUCUGGGACGGUACUGACGCUGAGACGCGAAAGCGUGGGGAGCGAACAGG